CUUGAAUUAAGCUGAAGUUUACGUAUAUUUACACAUUUUCUCUUAGUACUCGUUGGAAUUCGCAGGCGCACUAGGUAAAGUUUCACAGAGUACAUCACAGUUUGUCAUUAAUACUCUUUUGGGUACCUCUAAAAUUCCCGUUUGCAUACUACACGCCACGGUACUCGUAAACGGUUUACCACGUCCGAGACGGUGUGGCCAGCGCCAGCUGCUAUUCGGCCGGUCUAUUAACUGCGCAAAUCGUCCAAUGACAGAAAGCAACGAAAAUAAAAAGUAGCUACUAAAUCUCCUACAGUCCUACUUGUGCUUUGCAUUAAAAGUUUACUGCAUAACAUAUACUCCAAGAGUAAUGGGGUUAGGGUAACCUGUGCAACCUGUUGGCCUCAACUACAUGAAAGUAGCACAAUGCAUAGUAAGAAAUACAAAUUAUGUACAUAGGCAAGUACGGAAAACAUUGGCAGGCUCGCAGGCAAUGAUGCUGACUUUUGGUAUUGGAAAGAUUCCGAUUCAUUUCUACAAACGAAUGAUUUCUUGUGUCACAUUUGUUAUUUCCCAUCUGUAUUUCUCUUUGUGUAGAAGAAUUGCAAAGUUACAUUAAAGAAAGUGGAGGGGAAAUUGUUACAGGGAGAGUUUUGAAGCAUGUUAUGACAACAUUGUCUCCAACAGACUUUAAUAUAACAGUAAACGAUCCCGAUCAUGAUUUUUUUCGUGGCAACACUGUCUCUUUGUGUGAUACUGCAGUCGAAGUCCUCGCGUUCCUGAGGCUCUGAAAGUGAAAGCGUCGCUCCUGCAGUACUGCUGAUGUCGGUCAAGUUGAAUUCAACAUGGUGAAACCUAAUGAAAAGGGAAAGAACGCAUUGCAUUUACGAGAGAUAGAAACAGUUGUUACGAAAAGCCGGUUGUUGGAAGGAACGAGAAGCAAUUCUUUCCAACCUGUUCCAGAUGUUUUGUCUUUGAAGUCGUCAUCCCUAACUGAACGCGAAGAAGAACUUUCAAGGGGUUUUCUUAAGUAUAAAAAAGGUAUAUCAUUCUUAAAUGAUGCCCACCUGCAAGUCUAAUGAGAAAUGUUGUGUGUUGUUAUUCUUCUCACGUUAUUCUUCUCACUGAAUAACCAAGUCCUUAAUAAAACACGAGACUGCUAUUAGUAUUAACUGUAAUGAAAGCACACUGCGUAACACUUACCAACGUAGCAUAUGAUUCUAUCCCAUAGAUGUUCUGUCCCGUCUGGACAUGGAACUACUGACAGAGAAUGUUUAAGUACAGCUCACGUUAUUCUUCUCACUGAAUAACCAAGUCCUGAAUAAAACACGAGACUGCUAUUAGUAUUAACUAUAAUGAAAGCACACUGCGUAACACUUACCAACGUAGCAUAUGAUUCUAUCCCAUAGAUGUUCUGUCCCGUCUGGACAUGGAACUACUGACAGAGAAUGUUUAAGUACAGCACUGAUGGAAUUCACCUUCAUACCCUUAUCAGAUGGUGAAUUCAAUGUCUGAAGGUAAAAAUAAGAUGUAAGGCUAACGCAUAAUAAUGAUUAAUAAGUGUUGUACCUGACGCUUUCGGCCGACCAAAUAAUUUUGAGCCAUGGUGAUGCUGUGCUCAGAAUUCAACGUCUUAAAGUAAAAAUAAGGUGUAAGGCUAACACAUAAUAAUUAAUAAUGAUGAGUAAGAGGUGUUGUACCUGACGCUUUCGGCCGACGAAAUCACUUAAGAUUGAUGUUGUGCUCAGAAAUCAGCAGGCUGUUUGAGGGACUCAGCAACGCGAGGACUUCGACUGCAACUGCAAUAGUGCAAUGUCACACAAAGGGAAUAAAUCACUUGGGAAACCGAGUUCAAGAUCGACCGCUAGAUGGCGAAAGAGUAGAGAUUUUUUUUUUUUUUUUGGAAAGAGAAAAAAUAAAUGUUGGUAAAACCGGUUGCCAUAAUUUCGCAGAAAAUAAUCACCAUCCACAAACGCCAUCUAGCGGCCACGGCUUGCACCUUUUUGAAAUCCCACUCACUGGAGGAGGAGCUGAAUCACUAUAGAUUCCUAUAACCAUUUCCAACAAUUAAUAUCGAUUUUAUCGUGCCAGUGGCAGAUACAGGGCCAUCAAAUCGUGAUCGGUUUGGAGAUCCUAAUUCACAGAGAUUUGCCCGGCACUAACCGGAGUGAAUAUGCGACACUGAGGACACUUAAUGUGGUUUUAAUCGACUAGAUUCUAAAUGACACAAAAAUAUACAUGAGUACAAUCAUCGGACAUCACAGGCAUAAUCAUAACAUUAGGUUUUAUACGUUGAAUGCACGUGUGCGCAUACAAAAAACAAAAACAAUACAAAAGAGAAACGUGACUUACAACGCAACACUCCAGACAGCGUCGUCCAUUUCAACGGCGAGAUAAACUGGUAUGUUAUUGCAACAAGCGAGAUAAACAGUAUUGAAAACCAGUAAUUGAUAAACGUUUAGAAAACAAAAACAAAUUUAUUAUCACUGAGACAUUCACCUGUAUCUGCACUGGCACGAUAAAAUCGAUAUUAAUUGUAGGAAAUGGUUGUAGAGAUCGAUAGUGAUUCAGCUCCUCCUUCGGUGGGUGGGAUUUCAAAAAGGUGCGUAUUGUGGCCGCUAGAUGGCGUUGGUGGAUGGUGAUUAUUUUCUGCGAAAAAAAAUAAAUGGCCCUAGCCAAGGUGCUGAAAUUUUAGGGGGUAAUUUGGCGUUCCGUAUGCAAGCCGUACUUUUUUGCGGAUUUUUCCGUUUUCCUACUGAUUAGAUGCUUCACACACCCGGGAUUUGUGAAUAAACUAAGAUAGAUAAUUUUUUUAUUUUUAUUUCUUAAUUAUAAGCAAAAAUUCUUUAUAUCCCCUUAUUCAUUUGAACUGUAUUGGCCCAACCUUAUAUACGCAUAAAAAUUUCGUUAUAAAAAUCUAA